CCCGCUCAGAAACUCACAGGAAUUGACGGGGCCCGCACAAGCGGUGGAGCAUGUGGUUUAAUCGAUGAUACGCGAGGAACCUUACCUGGGCUCAAAUGUAUGUUGACGUAUUCUGAAAGGGAUACUUCUUCGGACAAUAUACAAGGUGCUGCAUGGUUGUCGUCAGCUCGUGCCGUGAGGUGUCGGGUUAAGUCCCAUAACGAGCGCAACCCCUAUCAUUAGUUGCCGUCAGGUCAAGCUGGGGACUCUAAUGAAACUGCCUACGCAAGUAGUGAGGAAGGUGGGGAUGACGUCAAAUCAGCACGGCCCUUACGUCCAGGGCUACACACGUGCUACAAUGGCCGGUACAAAGGGCAGCUACCUGGUGACAGGAUGCUAAUCUCAAAAGCCGGUCUCAGUUCGGAUCGGAGUCUGCAACCCGACUCCGUGAAGCUGGAAUCGCUAGUAAUCGCGCAUCAGCCAUGGCGCGGUGAAUACGUUCCCGGGCCUU
rnacentral:rRNA from 1 species